AGGUGCAGCUCUGGGAGGCAUCAGACUGGAGGUCGGGCUUCUGGGUACAAAGCUGGACAGCCCAGAGAGCCAGAGGAUUACCACGAUCAAGGAGAGUGGAUCUGGAAGCCCAGAAGGCUGCCAGGUGUGAAAACCGAGGUCCAGAAAGGGGAGGUGACAUCCACCAGGUCUCUCAGUUGUGUCAGUCGGGGUACAGGUCACUUCUGCUUCCUUCCUCCGGGGUUACCCUCGGGGGACAGUAAAUCUCCUCUCCAGGGGUUGUGCAGUUGGAGAAACCCAGUAGACGGUCUCGAGGGGCAGCAAGAGAGGAAGAGGAUCGGAAGCCGCUGUACGACUUUCUGCCCACAUGGAGGGAAACAAGUCUCCGGAAUGUGUAAUCAACACAGUCUGACCCUCAUCUGGUGCAGGAAAUUGCACAAAUGGUCCCAGUUCUUCACCUCUCCCCGUAUCCACAUCCGUAUCUGCGCACAUCCAUAUGACUUGGGAAUUCUUCUUCUAAGAAGGUGGAAUAGAGCCCCCACCCCUUCACCUUGGGUUCAGCCCUAUGGCUUAACCAAUGGGAUGCUGGCAUGUACGACAUAACUAAAGGCUUGUAAAGUGCUUACCUGAUUGGGCUCCUUCUCUUGGGCCUCUGCCCUCUUUGCCAUGAGAAUAUGCCCCCCUGGUGCCAGGAGGAGGACCAGGGACACACAGAGCAGGACCAAACCAUCCCAAUCAGGUCCAGCUGAGAUCAACCAGUCUCAGAGGUAUAAGCAACUCCAGUCAAGCCCGGCCAAGCCCCGCCAAGAUCAACCAACUCUUAGCCGAUCUGGAAUAAAUGACUUGUUUUGAGUCACUGAGCGUGGAGUGGCUCGGUUUGCAGCAUUUUCUGGCAGUAGGUAACUGAUAAGCCACCUCUUGUAGAUCUCACCUUCCUGAUGUCUUUUGGGCACACCCCUCCUCUCCAUCCCCUUGCCUCAGUACCAGCCUCCUAACAGCCUCCUACCUGGGCUUCCUGUCUCCAGUCUCACACACUCUAAUCCGUUCCUCACGCUGCAUCCAGAUCUUUGUGAUAUCUGAUGAUGGCUGUCUCUACCUGUUACCCUCUUU
rnacentral:lncRNA from 1 species